rnacentral:lncRNA from 1 species
CGGGGACACCAACGGGGAGUGGAUACUCCGAGGCUCAACCUGGGGCCUCUGCCCGCCCUCCCCUGGGUGCGGAGCCGGACGGCGGGCACUGGCAACCCCCGGGCCCCUGGAGAGCCCCGCGGCGGCCCAAGACCCGCUCCCGAGACACGUGGGCCCCUCCGGACUUGGUUGGUCCCUGGAGCCAGCUGCGCGCGUCCUCUCCGGCCUCCUUGUCGGCGCUGGAGUGGGUCCACGUCUGCCUUGCGGAGCGCGGUGGUUCCACGCUCCUGAGCGCCCACGCUGCGCAGACCUGGCCGCUCUGCGAGGCGACGGCAGCGCACUGAAGACCGUGGUGUUUCCCAAGCCCUCCCUGCUCUCGGGCCUCCAGGGCGCAGCAGGGGAGGGUUUUGUCCCCGUGGCCAAAGCUCUGCAGGUCGAACCUUAUCUGCUAUGGGAAGGCCCCGCAUUUUCAGGAUUCACGCAGGGCCCUCUGCAGACUGUUGGCAGAAAAAAGGUAGCCACCAAACACAUGCAUAAGCUGGACUUUUCCCAGAAUGCUGCAGCAGAACUACCCUCCAGAUAGACACUAGCCUGCGGGCCACAGUGCUACGUGAGUCUUGCAAAGAGGAGAUCUUUAUGGCGAGGCUGAGAGCACUGCCUGCAUGCUUUACCAGAGCCCAGCCUCCAGCCUCCACGGAAAAUGUGUUUUGGAAUCAACACUCUUUGCAAAGGCUCCACACUGCUUUCUGGUAGCAUUGGCCUGGGCGCCCAGGCACUCCUUUAGAACCCACCUGUUCCCCCCACCCACCCUAGUGGGAGGAGGAGAGGGUUACACUGACAGAUACCGGCAGCUCUGCAACCCGGGAACAACGCAGACAACAUACAACUCGACAGAGUCACAGAAGGUGGCGUCCAUCGCGCCUGGAUGGUGACUACUGCCCUGCGGGCUGCUGGGUGGGUGAAACACACAGGGAAGAAGCACAAAUACACACACAGAUGUGGCUCAGGGA